AUCCGGCUGACGCGUCCCAGAUAGGACGAAACGCGCGUCAUGGGU
rfam:Schistosoma haematobium scaffold270_1, whole genome shotgun sequence.